rnacentral:rRNA from 1 species
AAGGCUUGACCUCAAAUCAGGUAGGACUACCCGCUGAACUUAAGCAUAUAAUAG